rnacentral:rRNA from 1 species
AAUGGAGGAAACUCUGAACCAGCCACGCCGCGUGCAGGAAUAAGGCCUUAUGGGUUGUAAACUGCUUUUGUAUGAGAAUAAAACUUUCUACGUGUAGAAAAUUGAAGGUAUCAUACGAAUAAGUGUCGGCUAACUCCGUGCCAGCAGCCGCGGUAAUACGGAGGACACAAGCGUUAUCCGGAUUUAUUGGGUUUAAAGGGUGCGUAGGCGGUUUAUUAAGUCAGUAGUGAAAUCUUGCAGCCUAACUGCAAAAUGGCUAUUGAUACUGGUAAACUUGAGUAAGGUUGAGGCAACUGGAAUGUGUGGUGUAGCGGUGAAAUGCAUAGAUAUCACACAGAACACCGAUUGCGAAGGCAGGUUGCUAAGCCUUUACUGACGCUGAGGUACGAAAGCGUGGGGAGCAAACAGGAUUAGAUACCCUGGUAGUCCACGCUGUAAACGAUGAUCACUAACUGCUGGAUUUAUUUUUCAGUGGCCAAGCGAAAGUGAUAAGUGAUCCACCUGGGGAGUACGAUCGCAAGAUUGAAACUCAAAGGAAUUGACGGGGGCCCGCACAAGCGGUGGAGCACGUGGUUUAAUUCGAUAAUACGC